rnacentral:pre_miRNA from 1 species
CAAGUACUCCCUCCGUCCGAAAUUACUUGUCAUCAAAAUGGAUGUGUCUAGAACUAAAAUACAUCUAGAUACAUCCAUUUAAAUGACAAGUAUUUUCGGACGGAGGGAGUACAAG